CUAAGUGAUGAUUAUUGUUUUUAUCGACCGGGCGGACAUAUUAGUAUCAUUUGAUCACCAAACGGGGGUAUUCAUUUCCGUAUGGUAGUCGUAUUCUCUGUGUACAAAUUUUUUUAGAGGAUAUUGGUUGAAUGAGAAUUGAUGAAUGGUCGCUAGAUAGCUGAUU
rnacentral:snoRNA from 1 species